UCCACUUUGUGAAACACCAGCGCACUUUCCCCACCCUGGGUUGGAAUAACAGCCCAGGCCUUUUUAGAAUGUUAUCUGAAAUUCAAAACAGAUGAAGUCUCAGGAAGAUACAGAAACCAAAUGAGCACCACUUGGCUUCCAAACCACACGCCCAUUCCCUUGGGAGGCAGCAGCCCACACUCUGCUGCUGGGAGAGAAAAGACCAGAACUUGGCCCGAGUGAGCAGUUGGGCAACACUGAAGGUCCCCUGUGUCCUGGGCUUCGUUUCUCCCCCUGCUCGACCUGACACACACCGGCGGCACCACUGGGCCACUUCACGGGGCACAGGUGCUUCUCAUACAGGAACGAGCUUUCAGCACCUUUAAGAUUGUGAGUGAAGACUGGUAGGAGAUCGGGGAGCUGCAGGCCUGGGAGGGAUCCUGGCUGGGAGUGGAGGGCUGAGAACUACACACACCUCUCCUUUCCAACUUGUCCUUCCUUCUUCUUCUCUCCUGUCCCAACGCGGGGUAGGACUGUCAAGAAAGCAGUUUGUUGCAGAUUGCUAAGGACUAGAGGCCGGGAGCCUCCGCCCUCUCCCACCCCCGGAGACACCCCAAUACGAAUGCAGCUCCGGAGGGUCUCCAAUCCCCUGCCCACAAGGGCCACCCAAGGCCGCUCCAGGGCAGACUGCAGUCCCUUCUCUGGAGGCCUGGGGAGAAGAGAGUCGAUUCUCCCUGGAGGGCAGCGGAGCACCAGACAAGUAAUUAGGCCAAACUGCAAGUGGCAAUUACGUCUUUGCUUCUCAGAAAUGAUAAACAGAGGGCAGAGGGAGGGUUGCAUCACAGACUCCCAGGGGCACGGGAACAUUUGCUCUGAAAACUCAAGCUGGUCUCCGUGAACCAGGGUGAGGCCGCCAAUUGGUUCCCUGCCGGGUGCGGAAACGUUUCUUCAACAAUUACUGAGAGCUCCAAGCUCUUGAGUGAAAGGCUGGCUGCCUCCUCGCAGAGGCUGCUCCGUGCCCUGCUUGCUCUGGAUCACAUUUCUGUACCAUCUUCAUUAUAUAAUGUAAUUUAUGCCAUGUUUUAAUAUAGUUGUCUUUUUAUAGAGCCUA